rnacentral:rRNA from 1 species
UACGUAGGGGGCAAGCGUUGUCCGGAUUUAUUGGGCGUAAAGAGCGUGUAGGCGGUUAGGUAGGUCCGUUGUGAAAACUCGAGGCUCAACCUCGAGACGCCGAUGGAAACCAUCUGACUAGAGUCCGGAAGAGGAGACUGGAAUUCCUGGUGUAGCGGUGAAAUGCGCAGAUAUCGAGGAGGAACACCGGUGCGAAGGCGGGUCUCUGGGCAGUAACUGACGCUGAGGAACGAAAGCGUGGGAGCAACAGG